GACGGCAGCGCUGGGUUGACUCCCUGCCCCCCUUCCCCCUCCCGGCCGGAGGAAGAUGGAGCUCGGUUAGCGAGGGCUUGCGGGAGGAGCGGCGGGAGCAGAUAAAACAGUGAAGUCUUUAACUGCUCCAGAAGAGGGUCUGGAAGGAAAAUGUCUCUGGCAAAGAAGUAUCAGGCACAUGAUACUGCAGAGAUUCAAAAUCAGAAGUAAAUCAGCUGGACAGUUGCCUCCUGCCUUCCUAAAUAGGCAAACAUAUUAGCAACAGAAGAAGGGGCCUACCUACCUCAUUCCUGGAGAAGGUGGGUUUGCUGCUGUGGAUGCCUGCCUUGUUUGCUUCACCAAAAUGAGUUAGGGCAUGCAGGAGAGAAGGGAGACUUUUGCAAGCAGAGCCUAUCAUGGUGAGUCAGAUUUUGUCCCUGCUUUUGCUGUAGAGCUUCUCACUGUCCCUGCAUUGCUUAAACCAAACUGUUUACACAGAAUUCUCUCU